GCGCGUAAAUUGCCCGAAUCCUGACACAGGGAGGUAGUGACAAGAAAUAACAAUACAGGGCUAUCUUAGUCUUGUAAUUGGAAUGAGUACAAUUUACAUCUCUUCACGAGGAUCAAUUGGAGGGCAAGUCUGGUGCCAGCAGCCGCGGUAAUUCCAGCUCCAAUAGCGUAUAUUAAAGUUGUUGCAGUUAAAACGCUCGUAGUCGGAUUUCGGGGCGGGGCCGCCGGUCUGCCGAUGGGUAUGCACUGGCGGUCGCGUCCUUCCUUCCGGAGACUGGCCCUACUCUUAACUGAGCGGGGUCGGGAGACGGAUCGUUUACUUUGAAAAAAUCAGAGUGUUUCAAGCAGGCAGCUCGCUCUUGCAUGGAUUAGCAUGGGAUAAUGAAAUAGGACUCUGGUGCUAUUUUGUUGGUUUCGAACACCGGAGUAAUGAUUAACAGGGACAGUCAGGGGCACUCGUAUUCC
rnacentral:rRNA from 1 species